GACGAACGCUUGCGGCGUGCCUAAUACAUGCAAGUCGAGCGAUGAUUAAAGAUAGCUUGCUAUUUUUAUGAAGAGCGGCGAACGGGUGAGUAACUCGUGGUAAAUCUGCCGAGUAGCGGGGGACAACGUUUGGAAACGAACGCUAAUACCGCAUAACAAUGAGAAUCGCAUGAUUAUUAUUUAAAAGAAGCAAUUUCUUCAAUACUUGAUUAUCCCGCGUUGUAUUAGCAAGUUGGUAGUGUAAAUGACUACCAAGGCGAUGAUACAUAGCCCACAUGGGAGGGUGAUAGGCCACACUGGGACUGAGACACGGCCAAGAGUCCUACGGGAGGCAGCAGUAGGGAAUCUUCGGAAAUGGGGGCAACCCUGACCGAGCAACGCCGCGUGAGUGAAGAAGGUUUUCGGAUCGUAAAACUCUGUUGUUAGAGAAGAACGUUAAGUAGAGUGGAAAAUUACUUAAGUGACGGUAUCUAACCAGAAAGGGACGGCUAACUACGUGCCAGCAGCCGCCGUAA
rnacentral:rRNA from 1 species